rnacentral:rRNA from 1 species
GCGCACGCGCGCUACACUGACGGAGCCAGCGAGUACUGGCGCAAGCCUUCCUUGGCCGAAAGGUCCGGGUAAUCUUGGGAAACUCCGUCGUGCUGGGGAUAGUCCUUUGCAAUUAUCGGACUUGAACGAGGAAUUCCUAGUAAGCGCGGUUCAUCAGAUCGCGUUGAUUACGUCCCUGCCCUUUGUACACACCGCCCGUCGCUACUACCGAUUGAAUGGCUUAGUGAGGCCCUCGGAUUGGCGUAUUGCUGCCGGCAACGGCUGGUUAUAUGCCGAGAAGUUGGUCAAACUUGGUCAUUUAGAGGAAGUAAAAGUCGUAACAAGGUAUCCGUAGGUGAACCUGCGGAUGGAUCAUUAACGU